GCACAUUCAUUAUCGUGAAUAGUAAAUCACUCCGGAAUAGAAUACGGCGUCGACGAUAGGUAUAAAAUUGAUAAAACAUUCAUUUUAAACAAAAUAAACUCUGUAUAUUAGAAAAAAUAAUAGGAAAUUGUUAAUACUUUAAAAUAAGUUUAUACGCAAUCUUCACACUAUAAUAUUCGCUGCUAUUUCUAUAUUAAUAACAAUGAUUAAUUUUUUCGAUGACUAUUUAAACAUGAUGAAAUAUAAUCACACUAUAGAAAAACGCGAACUAUGACCAUCGACAGUAUGUACUUACUUAAGUACUCUUUCGUCCGGCUAUGACCUGUCACAAUUAGCAUCAGCGCUUCGAGUGGUAUGUUCCACAAGUUUAUAGCUAUACAUUUUCAAAGAAUAUGCAGGCCUUAGUGUUGAACAUUUCUAAGAAAAUACGUUACUGCCUAAAACAAAAUGGACCAAUGAGAUGUAAAUCACGUGAGAACCCGGGUUGCCGUUGUUAUUUUGAUGAACUUUAUUUCCCAAGUAAAUGAAGAGUAGAACAUAUAGAUAUACGUUUUGUGUGUUUAAUGUGCAAAUUAUUAUAACCUCACUGCGUAUCUGACACGUUACAACUCGUUUAGUACCCGGCUAUUUAUGCCUAAUCGACAUAAAUACAUGACUAUUGCCGAAUACAGAAAUUUGAUUGAGACGAAUGACCAAUCAUAACAAGACUGAACCAAAUAAAAGAGCGAAUAAUAAUAACAUGAGGAAUAGAACUGCCCUUACAAUAGGACAGAAAAUUGAAAUUUCUGAAAAAUUGGAAUGUGGUAUGUCUGUCAGGAAUUUAGCUAUCGAGUAUCAGAUUCACCCUACCACUGUACGCCGCAUUCGACGAAAUGUAAUAUCAAUGCAUCACCUUGCGGAGCAAGGAAUCCAAAUACGUAAACGAAAAAAACUACGGAAACCUGCAUUUGAGGAUAUAGAAAAUCGUUUAUACGUAUGGUGGUUGGAACAAAAGACAUUGGGAGAUCCAGUCACAGAUUUAUUAUUACAUAAUAAAGCAUUAGAGCUAAACAAGGAAUUUGGUGGACCUUCAACGUUUAAAGCAAGCGCAGGCUGGAUAGCAAAAUUUAAAAAUCGUCACAAUAUACGAUUAUUACAUAAAUUUGAAGAAGAUGAAAAUGUCGAUAUGGUAGAAGACGAACAAGGAGAACAAGAAGACGCAGAGGAAGCACUUGAAGAAAAAGAACAAAUUGAAUAUUAUGAGGAAGACACCAGCAAAAUAGAAAUACAACACGCAUUAGAAACUUUAACAAAAUAUGCAGAACAAGCUCCACGUUUUAUUAAAUUAACAGUGGAAAAUUUGAAAGACUUUUUUCUGAGAGAAGAGACUUAAAAGGAGCACCAAAGGAUAUGCGAGAAAAUGGGUUAGUCACCAAUUUCAGAAAAGAUAAGUUAUAUUUCUUAAGUACGUAUAAUGUUCUGUUUUUCUUUUGGUAGUAAUUUUUUGUUUUCUUGUUUAUAGCAUGAGGCAUUCUAAGUAAAGGAAGUGAUACUACGGGUAUCAACUAAAAAAGACAUGAUGGAUUGGAGUAUGAAGAAAAUAUAAAGAUUGUGCUUGUCUAGAAUCAAAAAAUCCAGGAAAGAUGGACAUUAACUUUGGAACAUCAUUUUUUACAUACAAGUCAAUAAGAUAUAUGUUACAUGUAAAUAUCAAAAUAAUUAUCUUUGUAAAUAAUGUAUGUAAUCUGUAUAUAUAGCAAUAAUACUGCAUAAAAUACGAUAAGAUAAUUUAGUAUAUCUAUUUUAUAUUGGAAAUUUUCUCUAACCUGAGUAGUGAAGUUGUUUUCGUUUAUUUUAACAACAAUGAAAAUAUUUAAAAUAGAAUAUUGUUUACUUUGGAAGAAAAAAUAUUUCAACAACUUCUUUCUACACAUACUUUAUAAGAUUCUUAAACAUUUUCUCAGCAUCAAAUAGAAUUAAUAUAUUUAGCAUUUUCUUGUACUUACUCUAUAACAUUAUAUUUUAUAAACUUUACUUAAUUAUGAUGCUAUUAUUAAUAAAAAGAAGUUUGUAACAACAUCCAAUAUAAUUCGAAGAAAUGUAAGAGUAUAUCAGUUAAUGUAUUAUUAAUAUCUUACUGAUUGGUGAUUUUGUUUGAAAACUUUUCUGUGCAGUAAAUUAUUCUUUCAUAAAUGAAUAUGAAAUGAAAACAUCUUACAUACACUACAUACAACAUAUUAAAAUGGUUCAAACUAUGUAAUGAAUACAACCUAGAAUACCCUUAGGGAUCUACGUUACUCAGACUGGAGUAACGUUUUUUCAACGUGUCCCACUUCUAGUGCUAUAUAAACUUGGCUGCCCUUGAAAUGUCGAUAGAUUACUUGUAUAAUUUCGAUAUAACGUUAUCUUUAUGCAUGAGCGGUGCUCAAAGCCAGCAUGCUCAAUACAUACGUUUACGCCACUAUCGCGCAUUGUGUUUUUUUCGUACGUUUCCUAUUGCCAUUUAAGUGGCAAUAUUAAAAUUAUAUUGACAAAUUAUAUUUUAAUGACAUUAUUAUUUCCGUUUGCCAUUGUGCGACAGGAAGUGCUUAAUGUUGCAACGAGCGAUGCAUUCUUAUAUUGAAGAUAAAACGGUGUAUGUAUGGCUAAUAUUUCUACUUAUAUGGAAUAGGACAAUUUCCGGAGGAGAUGACCAUAUUUUCUUUGAAACGCAUUUAAAUGGAAACUAAGAGAAUCAGAACACCAGAUUUGACUUCUAAUCAAACUUCAAUUAAUUUCACUUGUAUUAGUUACUUCUCAAAUUGAAAUAUUCGUCUCCCCGAAUUUGGUACGCAAGGCAUGAGGAAUAUUAUUAACAAUACGAAAUUGCAAUGAAUUAUUCUGUAUAUUUAACACCGGUGGCGUAUAUAAAAAAGCAUUUUUACAUUAGAUUAUACCAAAAUAUAUGUAAUUGUUAUUACAACAGUGCUGAUAGUUGGUAUCAUGUUAUAUUUGGACUAUCGUAUCUGCGAUUGUCUUAUGUCCACUUAAAGUAAAGUAAUAUAUGAGGUUCAAUCGGAAAUCCUUGGAAUUACCAUGGUUGUCCAGUAAUUCUUAAUCCUUGGUAGUUGCCUGGUAUUGUUUGCUUAGAGGACGUACGGCUGAUAAAAAUCGUAAGUAUAGACAGUAGGUGCAUACAACGAAGGGACGGUCCACACCAAUCUCUUAUUUCUAGGCAUAUCCGGAGAAGCGGCACCUGAUUCCGGCUCAAUAUUUUCAACUUCGGCGGGUUUCGGUUUCGCUUCAAUGAAAGCAACGGCGAAGAGAGCCAGAAGAACGAUUGCCUAUAUACGAAAAAAUAAACAAUUCUGUACAUUGAUUAUUUCACUGUAUAGCAUAACGGCAGCGAAGCACUUUAAUUAUCUAGAAUUGUUCACUAGCACGAAUUAGGGAUGGAUGAAGCAAGAAAAUGAGUUAUUGUUUGCACAUAUAUCAACACCUAUUACUUAUUAUCCAAAUCAAUACUAACAAUAGUAGCUAAAGUCACUCCAAGUUUCAAAAAAAAGAAAAAUAUACUUAAUCGUUUGCAGUCUUGGAUCGAGACAGACUCGACAUUGGAUUUCGUUUUUAAUUUUUCUUGCAAUGACAUCAUACAUAAGUAUCAUUUUACGGCUGGUCAGAUAUUCUCGAACUACAAGAUGCGUGUAAACUACAGUAAAAUAGUUAAUUUAACCGAUAGGGCAAAAUGAAAGGCGGUGAUUUUGGAUGUCUUCAUCUCAUCGUAAUAGGUUUGGUAUCGCAAGUAAGAUAGACCGAAGCAAAUUGGAUCGAAAUAACAAUCCAGUCCACAUUUGUUAUGUUGCAAAUGGUAUUUUUCAUUUUUUGUUUUGUAUUUACAAAAGGAAGAUUUGUAAACUUUUUUUCACUUUCUGUUAUUAAUGUCCAAGUAUUUUUAUUUCUUUACUGCCAAACAAAAGACAAUUCGACUCGCCUCGGUCUACCCUAUUAUCCAGUGCAGAAAUCCAAUAGACAAGACGUAAUAAUUUUAUGAUCAAGAAUCAUAUUCGAUGUACUUACAGCGAAGUACUUCAUGGUUGGUGCGUUUGGUGGAGUCUUCGAGAUCAGCUUCUGUAUUCAACUGGAACUGAAUGAUGCUCCAGCUUUCUGAUGGAUAUCCUUAUAUACCUGGCGAAAGAAUGAUCUUGUACGCAUCAUUUUCGGAUUAAUUAUCAUACAAGGAAAAAUGUGUCGUGGCUACACCCUUGCUUCACGAGUAUGCGUGAGCCAGAGGAUGGUGUACGGCGUUGUUACGUGUUUUCUGAUUUCCGGAACCACAUUCAUAAUCCAU